GGGGCACGCUCAUGGGGGCGCAGGGCGACCACUGAUUGGUCAUGGGGUUGUAACAGUCCAGGGCGCUGGAGUCGGUGUUGCCGUCGGGCGAGUUGUUCCUGCCGCCCACGGCGUACAACAGCCCGCCCACCACGCAGCCGGCCAGGCCGCUCCGCGGCACCUGCAGGUCCGCCAACCGGAGCCAGGUGCCGUCACUGGGGUUGUAAG
rnacentral:misc_RNA from 1 species